rnacentral:rRNA from 1 species
CCGGACCGAUGUGGAGGUAGAGGGAGUGGGGAGGAAGAGGUGGAGGUUGGCGGCGGUGCCGGUCCGGCCGCACCACCACGCGGAGGCGUCGGGGAGGUAGAUGGUAUGGUGAUCGUGGGUCGCGGUAGGUAAGUGGUCGUGGUUGUAGUCGUAGGUGGUGAGUGGUGGUAGAGGUCGGUGACGGCGUGGAGCGCGCCUGCAGGUCUGUGUCCCCAACGCCCGCAGACUAGGGGGCGCGCGGAGGUGGACGAACGAGACGGACGACUAGGAGAAACGACGACGAGGAAAAGUACGCGGGGAUGACGACGUCGGAGAAGAAGGGCGGCGACGAACGACGGAAGAGAAAGUUAGGGAAAACGUCGACGAGAAGAAGAUGACGCGGGGGACGACGAGAGAGUUGCGACGACGAGGAAGAGGUAGAGGGUUGACGUACGACGCGGAGACGACUUCGGAAGAGACUUGAGGGACGACGACGAAGAGAAGGAAUGGAGGCGACGACGACGACGAGAGAGAGAGAGUUGGAAGAGACUUGGACGACGACUUGGGGUGCGAGGACGACGAGAAGAAGUGGUUGACUUCAACGACAACGAAAGAGAGAGAGAAAGAGAGACAUUAAGUAUUCUUUAUCAUGACAUGUUAAUACACUGACAAAAUCUGAACACGAACACUCCACAAGAAAACAACUACACAUUCUUGAUCGAUAUAUACAGUAUAUAUAAGACAUGAACGACUACUAACCAGAGGUCAAAUAACAAGAACACUAUAUUUAUGUAUGCACACACACAAACUACACUUUGUUAAUAUAUAUACACCGGAUAAACAGUCAAUCACCAAACAUAUUUAAGUCUAAUGAAGAUCACUAAAAUAAGGCAUAACUUUAACGAGAGACACCAUCAGUCAACACACUAGUAAAUUAAAAGUCCGAGACAAUAUCGAAACAGGCAUACUAUUUAUACAAACACUACACUUUGUAUAGACAGAUACAGAAUAUUAGAACAAAAAAGGGAGAAAACGAACAGUAAAGGUCAUGAUCAAGUACAACACAACAAAGGAAAACACAAUCACUAAAUCACAGAAUUCAUUUUGUUCUUUUACGGUUUUUCUGUCACUAACGUAAGAAUAGAGAGGAUAUACGAACAAACGUGGAAGAAACAGCUACUAAAAGGCUUUAUACUAUCAAAUCCAAAUAAAGGGACGUUAGUAGUAAAGUUAACACAAUGGAUCUAAAUCGGCUCGUAUCGGCGACUAAACGGAUCAGGGACACCUCUUGUGCUGUAAGCAUCAAACCCGCAUUUUGGGGUGAUAUGAAUGUUGACUAGUGUCGGCGAGUAGCAGGUGUUGAAAUAAUUAGAGAUGAGGAUUACAUACUCAACCAACUUAUCAUACCAAAAAAAGCAGGGUAGUGAAAGUUAACAAAAUAAAACGACCAAAAAAAAGCAGGGUGGAGGGUGGCGGUAUAGGAGUACAACUAAAAAAAUGGUAGGGUUGUUUUUGAAAAGAUUGGAAAAGUUUGAAAGGAUUGAUCUAUACAAUGUUUAUCCGUCCUAGGCUAUCGUGAAUGGUUUGUUAUUUAAAAUCAAAGUAUCGUUAGUUAAGGUUUAGAAUUGAAAGGAUUAAAUAGCUAGGAGCGGAAAAGAUUGUUGUUUAUAGAGAGAAGCUCAACCAUCAAGCUAUGCGUACUAAAAAAGUCGGAGGUGGAGGGUGGUGGUGGAGUAGCAACCAAAAGAGAGGGUACUUUGGCUUAGCGUACUGGGAAGGGUAGGAUACAGCGAGCUGGGAGAUAGAAGAAGAUCCAAGUGGCGGUGGCGCACGGGGUGGUUUUAGCGAACUCACUUCUAGUUAGGUAGGUCUAACCUAACUAGACAGCCACUGCUUGGGACGGAUCUAACCUAAUCAAGCCCACACUCUCCGGUGGCCUGCACCACUGACACACGCUCGCGAGAUUAGCUUAGCUUAGGGCGGUGGCCAGAGCAGGUGCAUCGGUACCGGCUACUAGUGAAUACAACACCGACGCAGGGAGAAGCCUGCCACUACUACAAUCUCCCUCGGCGACCGCGACCGAUCCGAGGGCUCAGGGCUGGCUAGCGCAGCCGAGCGACGAGGAGUGAGUCAUCAACGGUUCCUCCGAGCCCUUCUAUUUCCUCUUCCUCUGAUUGCCGCACGCCGUGUACUUCCCGGGUUCCUCAUUCACUGUCCUAAGACAAGGCCGGAAGAGAGAUUGAGUGGUUCCAGCAGGCGUGAUCCCACAAACCAGUUCUACCACAAUGACGUCCACCUGCUACACGAGCUCGUGGACCUCUCACAACUCUUUACUGAACACGUGGAACUCCUUCCUCGCCAAUCUGGCACGUACCCUUCCUUAGUUGUACACAUCCACCUUUCUCCCCCCUAAGUAUAACCCGGUACAAACGUUCCUCUGGUAGGUCCUGUUUGUUAGUCCUUCCCUUCAUAUCUAUAACUUUUCUCUCGAGCCUGUACCACAGCUCUUACCUUUCCUCCCCAUCUUAAUAAUAAAAAGAAGAUUUAUCUCACACCAAUUUCUCUGUGCUGUUAAUAACUAUCUCUCUUUUUCGGCUUUUUACUCAAACAACAAUAUGCCUACCUUUCGUAUAGUGUA